UACGGGGGGAGCAAGCGUUGUUCGGAUUUACUGGGCGUAAAGGGCGCGUAGGCGGCCACCGCAAGUCGACUGUGAAAUCUCCGGGCUUAACCCGGAAAGGUCAGCCGAUACUGCGGGGCUAGAGUGCAGAAGGGGCAACUGGAAUUCUCGGUGUAGCGGUGAAAUGCGUAGAUAUCGGGAGGAACACCAGUGGCGAAGGCGACUUCUUGGCCUGUUCUUGACGCUGAGGCGCGAAAGCGUGGGGAGCAAACAGG
rnacentral:rRNA from 1 species